rnacentral:tRNA from 1 species
GGGGUUGUGGCUCAGAGGUAGAGCACGCCCCUAGCAUGGGUGAUACUGGAUUCGAUCCUCAGCACCA